rnacentral:rRNA from 1 species
GACGAACGCUGGCGGCGUGCUUAACACAUGCAAGUCGAACGGUGAAGCUCCAGCUUGCUGGAGUGGAUCAGUGGCGAACGGGUGAGUAACACGUGAGCAACCUGCCCCUGACUCUGGAAUAAGCGCUGGAAACGGCGUCUAAUACUGGAUACGAGAAGGGUCCGCAUGGGCACUUUCUGGACAGUUUUUCGGUUGGGGAUGGGCUCGCGGCCUAUCAGCUUGUUGGUGAGGUAAUGGCUCACCAAGGCGACGACGGGUAGCCGGCCUGAGAGGGCGACCGGCCACACUGGGACUGAGACACGGCCCAGACUCCUACGGGAGGCAGCAGUGGGGAAUAUUGCACAAUGGGCGAAAGCCUGAUGCAGCGACGCCGCGUGAGGGAUGACGGCCUUCGGGUUGUAAACCUCUUUCAGCAGGGAAGAAGCGAAAGUGACGGUACCUGCAGAAGAAGCACCGGCUAACUACGU